AUCAUCUGGAAAGAUGAAUCAAAGAAGGUAAUAAUCCUGUAGUCGAAAAUGUUGUCUCUCUUGAGUGGAUCCUGAGUACGACGGAGCACGUGAAAUUCCGUCGGAAUCUGGGAGGACCAUCUCCUAAGGCUAAAUACUCUCUAGUGACCGAUAGUGAACCAGUACCGUGAGGGAAAGGUGAAAAGCACCCCGGAAGGGGAGUGAAAUAGAACCUGAAACCGUGUGCUUACAAGUAGUCAGAGCCCGUUAAUGGGUGAUGGCGUGCCUUUUGUAGAAUGAACCGGCGAGUUACGAUUUGAUGCAAGGUUAAGCAGUAAAUGUGGAGCCGUAGCGAAAGCGAGUCUGAAUAGGGCGUUUAGUAUUUGGUCGUAGACCCGAAACCAGGUGAUCUACCCUUGGUCAGGUUGAAGUUCAGGUAACACUGAAUGGAGGACCGAACCGACUUACGUUGAAAAGUGAGCGGAUGAACUGAGGGUAGCGGAGAAAUUCCAAUCGAACCUGGAGAUAGCUGGUUCUCUCCGAAAUAGCUUUAGGGCUAGCCUCAAGUGAUGAUUAUUGGAGGUAGAGCACUGUUUGGACGAGGGGCCCCUCUCGGGUUACCGAAUUCAGACAAACUCCGAAUGCCAAUUAAUUUAACUUGGGAGUCAGAACAUGGGUGAUAAGGUCCGUGUUCGAAAGGGAAACAGCCCAGACCACCAGCUAAGGUCCCAAAAUAUAUGUUAAGUGGAAAAGGAUGUGGCGUUGCCCAGACAACUAGGAUGUUGGCUUAGAAGCAGCCAUCAUUUAAAGAGUGCGUAAUAGCUCACUAGUCGAGUGACACUGCGCCGAAAAUGUACCGGGGCUAAACAUAUUACCGAAGCUGUGGAUUGUCCUUUGGACAAUGGUAGGAGAGCGUUCUAAGGGCGUUGAAGCAUGAUCGUAAGGACAUGUGGAGCGCUUAGAAGUGAGAAUGCCGGUGUGAGUAGCGAAAGACGGGUGAGAAUCCCGUCCACCGAUUGACUAAGGUUUCCAGAGGAAGGCUCGUCCGCUCUGGGUUAGUCGGGUCCUAAGCUGAGGCCGACAGGCGUAGGCGAUGGAUAACAGGUUGAUAUUCCUGUACCACCUAUAAUCGUUUUAAUCGAUGGGGGGACGCAGUAGGAUAGGCGAAGCGUGCGAUUGGAUUGCACGUCUAAGCAGUAAGGCUGAGUAUUAGGCAAAUCCGGUACUCGUUAAGGCUGAGCUGUGAUGGGGAGAAGACAUUGUGUCUUCGAGUCGUUGAUUUCACACUGCCGAGAAAAGCCUCUAGAUAGAAAAUAGGUGCCCGUACCGCAAACCGACACAGGUAGUCAAGAUGAGAAUUCUAAGGUGAGCGAGCGAACUCUCGUUAAGGAACUCGGCAAAAUGACCCCGUAACUUCGGGAGAAGGGGUGCUCUUUAGGGUUAACGCCCAGAAGAGCCGCAGUGAAUAGGCCCAAGCGACUGUUUAUCAAAAACACAGGUCUCUGCUAAACCGUAAGGUGAUGUAUAGGGGCUGACGCCUGCCCGGUGCUGGAAGGUUAAGAGGAGUGGUUAGCUUCUGCGAAGCUACGAAUCGAAGCCCCAGUAAACGGCGGCCGUAACUAUAACGGUCCUAAGGUAGCGAAAUUCCUUGUCGGGUAAGUUCCGACCCGCACGAAAGGCGUAACGAUUUGGGCACUGUCUCAACGAGAGACUCGGUGAAAUCAUAGUACCUGUGAAGAUGCAGGUUACCCGCGACAGGACGGAAAGACCCCGUGGAGCUUUACUGUAGCCUGAUAUUGAAAUUCGG
rnacentral:rRNA from 1 species